rnacentral:sRNA from 1 species
GGGCUACUCAGCAUAGAGGGUAGAGACUGCCUGCCUUUCCUCUCCUGGUCCCACCUCAGCUGACCCUCUGUCAGCUCGAAUCAGCUGGAAGAGCCAGAGUUAAGAGGCCUACUCAGGAAGGGCCCUGUGGACAUUGUGCCCACUAGGCAGCAUGGGGCUUACUAAGGCCUGGAAUGUCUGUUGCUCCCCAAAGAUGCCUUCUACAGGGGGGAAAAGCUUGUGAACCUGAAGGAGCUGGCUGACGAGGCCCUGCAGAAGUGUCAGGAGAAGGGUUUCCCAGUAAGAUGCUGCAUUGUGGUCAAGCACCUGGGGCGGGCAGAGCUCGGCAUGGGUGACUCCCCCAGCCAGUCCCCCCCAAUUAAGAGGUCAUGCCCGGAUGUGCAGAUCUCAUGGAACCAAGGGAUUGACUUGUGGUGGCAUGAGCUCAUGCAAGAGGCAGGGGAUGAGUGUGAGCCCGAGUGGUGUGAUGCCGAGGACCCACUCUUCAUCCUGUACACCAGUGGCUCCACAGGCAAACCCAAGGGUGUGGUUCACACAGUUGGGGGCUACAUGCUCUAUGUAGCCACAACCUUCAAGUAUGUGUUUGACUUCCAUGCAGAGGAUGUGUUCUGGUGCACGGCAGACAUUGGUUGGAUCACUGGUCAUUCCUACGUCACCUAUGGGCCACUGGCCAAUGGUGCCACCAGUGUUUUG